UUUUCCCUCGGUUUUUUGCUGCUGCUGCUGCUACGACAACGAAAAAGAGAAAGACUUGUGGGUAGAAAACCAACAAAGUAAGACUAUAAAGUACGGCGCAGAGCGCACCAGAGGACUUGGAAUGGCAGCGGGGGUGAUGGUCGGUGUGGCGAGGGGAUGGCGUUGGCAGCGGCAGCGGCAACAGCAAACAAAAUUUAAGAUACUUUUUCGUUUGAGUGGAUGUGCAGCAGCUCUGGAUGCGAGAUCUGCGAGCUCUUGGCUCUGGCUGUUGGAAACAUGUUGAAAUGAAAUUGGUGAACGACGGCAACGGCGACGGCGACGACGACGCUGCUGUUCGAGUGCCGGUUCGGGUUUGGCGCAGAUGAAUGUGGAACGCCAGCCGCCAACAGACGUGGACGACCCAAGACCCGAGACCAGAGACAAGAGACCGAAAACCAGAGACCAGAGCGACCAGCUGUUGGCCUUGUGCUGUUAAUGCCUUGCAGUUGCUCUAGCUGUAUCUGGCAUUAUUUUUGGAGAUGUCGGCGACGGCGACGGCAACGGCGUCGUUGGCGGUGGCGGCGGCGGCGGCUGCGAUGUCUGUUGUUGUCGUUUCAGCCCCUCUGAUGGAUGACUCGACACAACGCUUGACUCGACUCGACUCGACUCGACGCUAUUGAGUAAAAAUGAUCAAAACAACAAAA